rnacentral:rRNA from 1 species
CCUACGGGAGGCAGCAGUAAGGAAUAUUGGACAAUGGUCGCAAGACUGAUCCAGCCAUGCCGCGUGCAGGAUGACUGCCCUAUGGGUUGUAAACUGCUUUUGUACGGGAAUAAACCCCUCUACGUGUAGAGGGCUGAAUGUACCGUAAGAAUAAGGGUCGGCUAACUUCGUGCCAGCAGCCGCGGUAAGACGAAGGACCCAAGCGUUAUCCGGAUUCAUUGGGUUUAAAGGGUGCGUAGGCGGAUUGAUAAGUCAGUGGUGAAAGCCUGUUGCUUAACAACAGAACUGCCAUUGAUACUGUUGAUCUUGAAUAUGUUUGAUGUGGGCGGAAUAUGACAUGUAGCGGUGAAAUGCUUAGAUAUGUCAUAGAACACCGAUUGCGAAGGCAGCUCACAAAGCCAUUAUUGACGCUGAGGCACGAAAGCGUGGGGAUCAAACAGGAUUAGAUACCCUGGUAGUCCACGCUGUAAACUUUGAUCACUCGCUGUUGGCGAUACACAGUCAGCGCGAGACGAAGACGUUAAGUAGAGUCCACCGCGGGAGGUACGAGUCGCGAAGAGUUAGUAAACGUUAAAGUUAAGUAAGUUAGGUUACGGCGGUUGGAGGACGNGCCGACGGACGACGACGAGGGGAGGUUAGG